rnacentral:rRNA from 1 species
AUUGAACGCUGGCGGCAUGCUUUACACAUGCAAGUCGACCGGUAACAGGGUGCUUGCACCGCUGACGAGUGGCGAACGGGUGAGUAAUGCGUCGGAACGUGCCGAGUAGUGGGGGAUAACGCAGCGAAAGUUGUGCUAAUACCGCAUACGUACUGAGGUAGAAAGUGGGGGACCUUCGGGCCUCACGCUAUUCGAGCGGCCGAUGUCUGAUUAGCUAGUAGGUGAGGUAAAGGCUCACCUAGGCGACGAUCAGUAGCGGGUCUGAGAGGAUGAUCCGCCACACUGGGACUGAGACACGGCCCAGACUCCUACGGGAGGCAGCAGUGGGGAAUUUUGGACAAUGGGCGAAAGCCUGAUCCAGCCAUGCCGCGUGUCUGAAGAAGGCCUUCGGGUUGUAGGACUUUUGUCAGGGAGGAAAUCCCUAGUGCCAAUAACACUGGGGGAUGACAGUACCUGGAGAAUAAGCACCGGCUAACUACGUGCCAGCCGCCGCUGUAA